rnacentral:rRNA from 1 species
ACUCAAAGGAAUUGACGGGGACCUGCACAAGUGGAGGAGCGUGUGGUUUAAUUCGAUAGCAAGCGAAGAACCUUACCGAGGUUUGACAUCUCUAGAAAGCCCUGGAAACAGGGCCGUGCCGCAAGGAACUAGAAGACAGGUGCUGCACGGUUGUCGUCAGCUCGUGCCGUGAGGUGUCCCGUUCAGUCGGUUAACGAGCGCAACCCCUAUCCUGUGUUGAAUUUUUCACAGGAAACUGCCCCAGUUAAUGGGGAGGAAGGUGGGGAUUACGUCAAAUCAGCGUGGCUCUUACACCUCGGGCUACACACGCGCUACAAUGGGUAGUAACAAUGGGUUGCCAAACCGCAAGGUGGAGCUAAUCCCAACAAACCUACCCUCAGUUCGGAUUGGGGGCUGCAACUCGCCCCCAUGAAGUCGGAUUCACUAGUAACGGCCGGUCAGCCAUACGGCCGUGAAUACGUUCUCAGGUCUUGUACACACCGCCCGU